AGCUGCAGCUGCAGUACAACUGCAUGCUGAAAUAGGAGAUUGCUAGAUAGACCACACUGGCACCCGAGGAACCCACGAGGAGGAGGAGGAGGAGGAGAAAAAUCGAGUUUCCACAUUUGAAACUGAACCUGGAACAGCCCCAAGAACUUGCCACACCCAGCUGCAAGGACCUGGUCUGCUAAGACCUCUCUCAGACCUCUCAGAAUGGCUCCUGCUUCCAGGUCCUCGGAGGCCCUACCCUGGGACUGAGCUCUGAAGCGUCCCAGUGAAGCCAGAGGCUCCUCAUUCUUGGGCCCGGGUCCCAGGAACCAGAAUGGUCGCAUUUCAGCAGCCACCGGCCCCGACUUGUUUCCUGUUGUGCUUUUUCUUCUCUUGAAGGCCAUUCCCAGCUGCCACCACUGUCGUUUUUUUACAGUCUGAUGUGACAUUUUGCCACACCAGCAAAGGUCUGCUAAGCACUGUGCUAUGCACUGAUAUGGUUUAAGAAGUCAGAGUGAAACACGUUCUCCCUGCAGGAGUUUACUGGCCACAAACCAAAACACACAUAAAUCUAUCACAAAGCAAAAAAUCUCUAAAACCCAAAGACUAGAGGAGUAUAAGGUUUCAGACUUUGGUUUUAAAAUAAUAGGGGGUUGGGGACAGCAGCCAACACCUGUUGGCAGUCUUCUGCAUGGCCUCACCUGGGAAGGGGAGAAAUGGCUCAGGCAACAAAACAGCUAAUCCUGGGUCAAAGUGACAACCCAAAAAAUGCCACAGACACAAGCAAUGCCCGGUGGAGAGAACUGGAAGCCGGCGUGGACUCAGUGGAGAAGGGCUUUCUGGGGAAGGGAUGCCGGAGGCUUUGUCCCUGCAGGCUCCAGGGAGCAGGAUGGUUUCCACUAUUCAAAUGCCCCACAACCAUUUCUAAACAACCCAGUAGGGUUCAUAGUGUUCUACGGAUGGGGACACAGUGGCUCAGAGGGGUUAAGGAUGUUGCCCAAGGUCACAGAGCUAAAGAAAAUGGCUGGGCUGUCAAUGAAACCAUGCUCUUUCUACCACACCAUGUUACCUGAGGAAUUGCACAAACACGAAAGUGUUCACUUCUGUCCAAGCCACCCAUUUGAUCAAUACGACGCCAGCCUACCAGCCUAUAUGAUGAGUUUCCCUCAUGGGCAAUCCCCAGCCCUCACAGAGCAUAAUGCACUAGACAAGCCAAAAAAACCAAAACAAAAUCUGUCAUAGGAAGUCUAAGGAAAUCUCAACUCCCCGAGUUCCCACGGCGCAGCUUUAAAGUGCGCGCAGCUCGACGGCAUAUGGCAAAUCAAUUACUAGUUUAAAUCUUAAAACAAAAACAUGGCAAAUGCAGCACAGAAAUAAUCAGGUACAAUGGUUCAGCUCAGAUUACAGCGGCCACUGGAGUUUUGAAUACAAUUAAUCAUCGUUCCAGGCAAUGGGAAGCCAUAUUGACACUUAUUCCUAAUUUGAAUAUUUAAUUAGGGUGAAGUUCUUCAUCAAAUUAUCGCAGAACUGGGAGAAAGCCUGGAAGACUUACACAAUUACCACCUUAACCCCUUCCCAGCUGCUCCCUGCCUGAGAACACUCUGGCUCUGCUGGGGGGAGGAGUACGCCUGCUCUGUUCGGCCCUGAUUCUGUGGGGGGUGGGAGAUGGGGGUGGGGUGUCUGGAACAGUUAAGAUUGAGAGGAGAAAGCCAAAGAGCCCAGCAUGUGACCCAGGCCUGCAGUGACUGGAGAUGGAGAUCCAGAUGAGCCUGGAGAAGAGCUGCAUGCUGGGUGCUGGGUGCAGAUGGAGCACCAGCUACGACAGGUCUACCCCACCUCCACUCAACUCUCCCCAGGAGCUGCUGAGAGGAGGAGAAACAGAGGCUUGGAGGAGUGCUGAGACUUGCCCCAAGUGGUCAAGUUAGCCCAGUUACUCAUCACCCAGCAGUUCCCACAGCAGCUCCCUCAGCCAUUGGCUGGCUCAACAGGGCCUCUCAGCCCACCUGUGAGACUUUGUGGUCCCUGCUGCAGCCUCUUGGGCAUAUAUUCACUCUGUAAACCAUGUCCACGGAAAAGAUACAGAGACGUGCUUCCUGUGUGCUGUGUGAUAUGAGAGUUAACAUUAGUAAUUAAGAUAGGAAUGAGAGAGCUUGCAUUUGCCUUGGUCAAGCUACCAUGGAAGGCGGGUUUAUGACAAAUUGCUGUCAUCAGAACUGCUCGGUAAAUUCUGACACUGUGAGAAGUUACAAGCUGCUCCUCAGUGUUUCUGGCAUAGUGUGCUCAUGGCACCCUUCACAUCUGGCUUUCAUGUUGAACUCAGGUCUAUAUGCGUGCAUGAUAAGCACUUUAUGAGCCGAGCUCUGUGGUCAGCUCCCUUGAAAACACUUUGGUCGGCUUUCAUGACAUCCCACCCCAGAGAUUAUGUAACUGGAAGUAAGGCUCCCACCAGCCAUGCUGCGCCUUCUCACCACCCUCACUCAGGCUUAUGCCCUUUUCUGAGCUCCGUGGACAUGCUCAGGCACAGCCUGACAGGGCCACAGUGGUAAAUGUCUCCUAACAGAUUCAAAUGGCUCAGCACCCUCUUUGGGAGGCCUCCUACCUCUUUCUACAAUGGCCACUCAGCAGGACAGCCCAGAACACCACACUGUCCUUCUCAAGGCAGCCUCCCCACUGACCUCCUGCCUACAUCUGGUCCCAGCAGGACACCCUGGGCCUCUCAGGCCUGCUCUGAGCAAGCUCUUGAUGGGAGCAAAUGGCACCAGGAACUUUGAAACUUUCCUUUGUAUAUUACAUUAAUCCACAUAAGAAAAUCUCUUUUAAUGAGGAGUGAUGUAGUCACAAACUCUCCAGAGCCAUAAUUAGAGCAAACUAAUUGAAGUUGUGUUUUGACACACUUUCCAAAUUCACGGGUGCUGGAUGACAUAUUCACAACACUGGUGCCGCACAACCAUGGCGACGGCAGAAUCAUUAGGCUAAUAACGCUUAUUUGCAUUCUUCUCAUGCCGCCAGCUCUCCCUUAAAUACUGUUUCUACCACUGCUCCUUUACUGUAACUUUCCACUAGACGGUAUUAACAGUAAUUAUUAGUGCUUUAGUGGAAUUUUAAUGUUAAGAAUAACGGCGCGAUUGGCAUGCACUGAAUGCCAAUGUUGUCUCUUAACUGCCACCCAUCUGCAGGCUUGGAGGUGCUCCCUCGGCCCCCAGCCCCAGGGUGACCAGAUGCCAUCUUUGCAGCAUUUGUGACAACUGCUCAGGGCCCACACCCAGGGAGAGCUGAAGUUUGGGUUCUUUAUUUACUGUUUCAAAUGCUUGAUGAGAAAAUCUUUCUUCUCUCCCCUUCUCUCUAAUGUAAGAACAAUAAAAUGCAAUCGUUAUAUAGAAAUUUUUUCU
ensembl:antisense Nron non-protein coding RNA, repressor of NFAT